UGGGGAAUAUUGCGCAAUGGGGGAAACCCUGACGCAGCGACGCCGCGUGAGCGAAGAAGGCCUUAGGGUUGUAAAGCUCUGUUUUAGGGGACGAAUGUCGUGGUCAGUAAUAUGGACUACGAAUGACGGUACCCUAAGAGGAAGCCCCGGCUAACUACGUGCCAGCAGCCGCGGUAAGACGUAGGGGGCGAGCGUUGUCCGGAAUUACUGGGCGUAAAGAGCACGUAGGCGGGAACCUAAGUCAGGUGUGAAAGACCGUGGCUCAACCACGGGGUGGCAUUUGAAACUGGGUUUCUUGAGGGCAGGAGAGGAAAGCAGAAUUCCUGGUGUAGCGGUGAAAUGCGUAGAAAUCAGGAGGAAUACCAGUGGCGAAGGCGGCUUUCUGGACUGACCCUGACGCUGAGGUGCGAAAGCGUGGGUAGCAAACAG
rnacentral:rRNA from 1 species